GUCUACGGCCAUACCACCCUGAACAAGCCCGAUGUCUGAUCUCAGAAGCUAAGCAGGGUCGGGCCUGGUUAGUACUUGGAUGGGAGACCACCUAGGAAGACCAGGUGCUAUAGGCA
rnacentral:rRNA from 1 species